AUACGGAGGAUCCGAGCGUUAUCCGGAUUUAUUGGGUUUAAAGGGUGCGCAGGCGGGAGAUUAAGUCGGCGGUGAAAUUUUUCAGCUCAACUGUAAAAGGGCCUUCGGAACUGGUUUCCUUGAGUGUAGAUGAAGUAGGCGGAAUUUGUGGUGUAGCGGUGAAAUGCAUAGAUAUCACGAGGAACUCCGAUUGCGCAGGCAGCUUACUAAACUACUACUGACGCUCAGGCACGAAGGCGUGGGGAUCAAACAGGAUUAGAUACCCUGGUAGUCCACGCAGUAAACGAUGAUUACUAGCUGUUUGCGAUACAAUGUAAGCGGCUGAGCGAAAGCGUUAAGUAAUCCACCUGGGGAGUACGUUCGCAAGAAUGAAACUCAAAGGAAUUGACGGGG
rnacentral:rRNA from 1 species